rnacentral:rRNA from 1 species
CCUACGGGAGGCAGCAGUGGGGAAUAUUGGGCAAUGGGCGCAAGCCUGACCCAGCAACGCCGCGUGAAGGAAGAAGGCUUUCGGGUUGUAAACUUCUUUUCUCAGGGACGAAGCAAGUGACGGUACCUGAGGAAUAAGCCACGGCUAACUACGUGCCAGCAGCCGCGGUAAUACGUAGGUGGCAAGCGUUAUCCGGAUUUACUGGGUGUAAAGGGCGUGUAGGCGGGAAAGCUAGUCAGAUGUGAAAACCACGGGCUCAACCUGUGGCCUGCAUUUGAAACUGUUUUUCUUGAGUACUGGAGAGGCAGACGGAAUUCCUAGUGUAGCGGUGAAAUGCGUAGAGAUUAGGAGGAACACCAGUGGCGAAGGCGGUCUGCUGGACAGCAACUGACGCUGAGGCGCGAAAGCGUGGGGAGCAAACAGGAUUAGAUACCCGUGUAGUC